AUGUCAACCACCCUCUUAUCUCUCUUCUUACAGAAGGCAGCCAACCCUCUCACAGCAUCGUUAUACUCCCGCCGCGCCUUGCGCAUUGCCUUCUUGUUAUCCUCCUCCAUGAGCCUCCUAACACGGCGGUUCUCCCCACGGGAUGCGUCCCACUCGGCCGCCCACCCGAAGUCCAUAACCGAGCCGAAACCCAGCCAGUAG
rnacentral:rRNA from 1 species